rnacentral:rRNA from 1 species
GCGGACGGGUGAGUAACGCGUGGAUAACCUACCCAUAAGACCGGGACAACCCUUGGAAACGAGGGCUAAUACCGGAUAACUUUCUACUCCGGCAUCGGAGAAGAAAGAAAGGUGGCCUCUGAAAAUGCUACCGUUUAUGGAUGGAUCCGCGUCUGAUUAGCUAGUUGGUGGGGUAAAGGCCUACCAAGGCGACGAUCAGUAGCCGGCCUGAGAGGGUGAACGGCCACACUGGGACUGAGACACGGCCCAGACUCCUACGGGAGGCAGCAGUGGGGAAUCUU